GGGGUUGUGGCUCAGUGGUAGAGCACAUGCCUAGUAUGUGUGAGGCCCUGCGUUUGAUACUCAGCACCA
rfam:Ictidomys tridecemlineatus contig053066, whole genome shotgun sequence.